rnacentral:rRNA from 1 species
UACGGAGGGAGCUAGCGUUGUUCGGAAUUACUGGGCGUAAAGCGCACGUAGGCGGCUAUUCAAGUCAGAGGUGAAAGCCCGGGGCUCAACCCCGGAACUGCCUUUGAAACUAGGUAGCUAGAAUCUUGGAGAGGUCAGUGGAAUUCCGAGUGUAGAGGUGAAAAUUCGUAGAUAUUCGGAAGAACACCAGUGGCGAAGGCGACUGACUGGACAAGUAUUGACGCUGAGGUGCGAAAGCGUGGGGAGCAAACAGG